rnacentral:tRNA from 1 species
GCCGAGGUGGCUCAGUGGUAGAGCACCUCCUUGGUAAGGAGGUGGUAGCGGGUUCGAUUCCCGCUCUCGGCU